AAUGAUGAGAUAAGAGUAAUGGCAGGGAUAUGAAAAGUAAGUUUACAAAAACUGGGAUGAAUACAGUGGUGUUUUAGAUAUGGCAGCAGUAUUAGAUCCAAGGAUUAAACCGCAAAUGCUUAAGGAAGUUUAAAAUAAGCUGGAUCCUAGAACUUUGGUAUACCAUGGAUUUUACCAGUUUUUAGGCACGGUAUAUAGUUGUUUUAGAGUCUAUUUAUUAUGUUUUAGAGUCUUUUUACAGUCUUUACAAGUCUAUGUAUGUUUUAGAGCAAUGUGGUGAUUAUGGAGUAUUUUGGAGCUAAAGAUAUUAGAAACUCUUAGCUGUUCAGAAACAACCCAUAGUCGACAUUCGGAUAGAGUGUCGAUCGACAAACAUCUCUUGUUGUCUAUCGAUGGUGACGCGCGUAGACAUUGAUAUAUUUACUGCUUAUUAAUCUACUGUCUAGCUUAAUCAUUGACUAUUUUGAGUUUAUUGUGUGUCUUCGCUAUUUGUAGAUUCGAUCCCAAAUAUUACAAUUAAACCUCUACUAUCAAAUAUCAUGGAUUUAACAUAAUAAAUAGACUCUAAAACAACUAUAUACCAUGA
rnacentral:lncRNA from 1 species